GCUCAGGAUGAACGCUGGCGGCGUGCCUAAUACAUGCAAGUCGAACGAGUUCUCGUUGAUGAUCGGUGCUUGCACCGAGAUUCAACAUGGAACGAGUGGCGGACGGGUGAGUAACACGUGGGUAACCUGCCCUUAAGUGGGGGAUAACAUUUGGAAACAGAUGCUAAUACCGCAUAGAUCCAAGAACCGCAUGGUUCUUGGCUGAAAGAUGGCGUAAGCUAUCGCUUUUGGAUGGACCCGCGGCGUAUUAGCUAGUUGGUGAGGUAAUGGCUCACCAAGGCGAUGAUACGUAGCCGAACUGAGAGGUUGAUCGGCCACAUUGGGACUGAGACACGGCCCAAACUCCUACGGGAGGCAGCAGUAGGGAAUCUUCCACAAUGGACGCAAGUCUGAUGGAGCAACGCCGCGUGAGUGAAGAAGGCUUUCGGGUCGUAAAACUCUGUUGUUGGAGAAGAAUGGUCGGCAGAGUAACUGUUGUCGGCGUGACGGUAUCCAACCAGAAAGCCACGGCUAACUACGUGCCAGCAGCCGCGGUAAUACGUAGGUGGCAAGCGUUAUCCGGAUUUAUUGGGCGUAAAGCGAGCGCAGGCGGUUUUUUAAGUCUGAUGUGAAAGCCCUCGGCUUAACCGAGGAAGCGCAUCGGAAACUGGGAAACUUGAGUGCAGAAGAGGACAGUGGAACUCCAUGUGUAGCGGUGAAAUGCGUAGAUAUAUGGAAGAACACCAGUGGCGAAGGCGGCUGUCUGGUCUGUAACUGACGCUGAGGCUCGAAAGCAUGGGUAGCGAACAGGAUUAGAUACCCUGGUAGUCCAUGCCGUAAACGAUGAAUGCUAGGUGUUGGAGGGUUUCCGCCCUUCAGUGCCGCAGCUAACGCAUUAAGCAUUCCGCCUGGGGAGUACGACCGCAAGGUUGAAACUCAAAGGAAUUGACGGGGGCCCGCACAAGCGGUGGAGCAUGUGGUUUAAUUCGAAGCAACGCGAAGAACCUUACCAGGUCUUGACAUCUUUUGAUCACCUGAGAGAUCAGGUUUCCCCUUCGGGGGCAAAAUGACAGGUGGUGCAUGGUUGUCGUCAGCUCGUGUCGUGAGAUGUUGGGUUAAGUCCCGCAACGAGCGCAACCCUUAUGACUAGUUGCCAGCAUUUAGUUGGGCACUCUAGUAAGACUGCCGGUGACAAACCGGAGGAAGGUGGGGAUGACGUCAAAUCAUCAUGCCCCUUAUGACCUGGGCUACACACGUGCUACAAUGGAUGGUACAACGAGUUGCGAGACCGCGAGGUCAAGCUAAUCUCUUAAAGCCAUUCUCAGUUCGGACUGUAGGCUGCAACUCGCCUACACGAAGUCGGAAUCGCUAGUAAUCGCGGAUCAGCACGCCGCGGUGAAUACGUUCCCGGGCCUUGUACACACCGCCCGUCACACCAUGAGAGUUUGUAACACCCGAAGCCGGUGGCGUAACCCUUUUAGGGAGCGAGCCGUCUAAGGUGGGACAAAUGAUUAGGGUGAAGUCGUAACAAGGGUAACCG
rnacentral:rRNA from 1 species